AUUCUUUCUUCUUCUCCCGUGAACCAGUUAACUGACUUAAAGAGUCAGUUAGCUGCUUGUUUCUUUACGAGCAUCUUUGUCACUUUUUGAAGUAUCCUCCAUAAAGUUAUUUGUAAAUUAGUUAUUUAGAUGAGAUGGGCGUCAGAGAAAUAAUAAUAUUUAUCAUAUAAUCAGUCUCCAUUUUACAGGUUUUAAAUCUCUCGAGGAACUUUACUACAGAACAUGGUUACACAGUAUCUGGAAUACAGUCAUUGUAAUAUGGUGCUUUUGAUUCUCUUUGCAUCUGUUUCUAAAAUUAUCAGGGUUUGACUUCUUCGGGAUAUUUGCUGGCUAUUGGAGAUGACAAUCAAAUGUAUGAGCUUCACCCUGACGGCAACAGUUUUGACUUUUUCAAAGGUCUGGUUCGAAGAAAAAUAUGAUCCAAAGAUUAUCUUGCUGCAUCUUCUGGUGGAAGUAGAUAACAGUGUUUUAGAACCAUCGACACAACUGAUACUAGUUUCAAUUUUCGAAAGCAACGAAGUUGCAGUAUUGCCCUUUAUUCCCCCUGUAUCCAGAUAAUCUCUUUAUUCUCUAUCAUAUAAAUAUCCCUUAUUA